UACAGAGGGGGCAAGCGUUGUUCGGAAUUACUGGGCGUAAAGGGCGCGUAGGCGGCCCGCUAAGUCGAACGUGAAAUCCCCGGGCUCAACCCGGGAACUGCGUCCGAUACUGGCAGGCUUGAAUCCGGGAGAGGGAUGCGGAAUUCCAGGUGUAGCGGUGAAAUGCGUAGAUAUCGGGAGGAACACCAGUGGCGAAGGCGGCGAUCUGGGAAGAUACUGACGCUGAGGUGCGAAAGCGUGGGGAGAAAACAGG
rnacentral:rRNA from 1 species